CAGCCGCCGCGGUAAAACGUAGGUGGCAAGCGUUGUCCGGAAUUAUUGGGCGUAAAGGGCUCGCAGGCGGUUCUAUAAGACAGAUGUGAAAUCCCCGGGCUCAACCUGGGAACUGCAUUUGUGACUGUAGAGCUGGAGUGCGGCAGAGGGGGAUGGAAUUCCGCGUGUAGCAGUGAAAUGCGUAGAUAUGCGGAGGAACACCGAUGGCGAAGGCAAUCCCCUGGGCCUGCACUGACGCUCAUGCACGAAAGCGUGGGGAGCAAACAGGAUUAGAUACCCCCGUAGUCCCUGUCUCUUAUAA
rnacentral:rRNA from 1 species